CGGCAACAGCUCAAAUUUGAAAUCUGGCCCCCGUGGUCCGAGUUGUAAUUUGUAGAGGAUGCUUUUGGUGAGGUGCCUUCCGAGUUCCCUGGAACGGGACGCCACAGAGGGUGAGAGCCCCGUCUGGUCGGACACCACAACCUCUGUAAAGCUCCUUCGACGAGUCGAGUAGUUUGGGAAUGCUGCUCUAAAUGGGAGGUAUAUGUCUUCUAAAGCUAAAUACCGGCCAGAGACCGAUAGCGCACAAGUAGAGUGAUCGAAAGAUGAAAAGCACUUUGAAAAGAGGGUUAAAUAGUACGUGAAAUUGUUGAAAGGGAAGCGUUUGUGACCAGACUUGGGCCCGGUUAAUCAUCCAGCGUUCUUCGCUGGUGCACUUGGCCGGCCCAGGCCAGCAUCAGUUUGCCGCGGGGGAUAAAGGCUUCGGGAACGUGGCUCCUCUGGAGUGUUAUAGCCCGUUGCGUAAUACCCUGCGGCGGACUGAGGUUCGCGCAUCUGCAAGGAUGCUGGCGUAAUGGUCAUCAACGACCCGUCUUGAAACACGGACCAAGGAGUCGUCUUCGUAUGCGAGUGUUCGGGUGUCAAACCCCUACGCGUAAUGAAAGUGAACGGAGGUGGGAGCCUCGGCGCACCAUCGACCGAUCCUGAUGUUUUCGGAUGGAUUUGAGUAAGAGCAUACGGGGCCGGACCCGAAAGAAGGUGAACUAUGCCUGUAUAGGGUGAAGCCAGAGGAAACUCUGGUGGAGGCUCGCAGCGGUUCUGACGUGCAAAUCGAUCGUCAAAUAUGGGCAUGGGGGCGAA
rnacentral:rRNA from 1 species